rnacentral:rRNA from 1 species
UACGAAGGGGGCUAGCGUUGCUCGGAAUCACUGGGCGUAAAGCGCACGUAGGCGGCUUUCUAAGUCUGGGGUGAAAUCCUGGAGCUCAACUCCAGAACUGCCUUUGAUACUGGAAAGCUUGAGUUCGGGAGAGGUGAGUGGAACUGCGAGUGUAGAGGUGAAAUUCGUAGAUAUUCGCAAGAACACCAGUGGCGAAGGCGGCUCACUGGCCCGAUACUGACGCUGAGGUGCGAAAGCGUGGGGAGCAAACAGG